GUGUACAAGUGGUAUAUAUUAGCACACUCCUCGUGUACAUGCAAUAAGGGUUCGAAUCCGGAGAGGGAGCCUGAGAAAGGCUACCACAUCCAAGGAAGGCAGCAGGCGCGCAAAUUACCCAAUCCCAACACGGGGAGGUAGUGACAAUAUGUAACAAUAUACGGCCUUAUACGUCGUAUAAUUGGAAUGAGUACAAUUUAAAUCCCUUAACGAGGAACAAUUGGAGGGCAAGUCUGGUGCCAGCAGCCGCGGUAAUUCCAGCUCCAAUAGCGUAUAUUAAAGUUGUUGCAGUUAAAAAGCUCGUAGUUGGACCUUGGACCUGGACAGGCGGUCCGCCUCACGGCGAGUACUGUCUUGCGGGGUCUUUCCUCUUGGUGAUCUGUUGUUUCGGCAGCAGGGAACCAGGACCUUUACUUUGAAAAAAUUAAAGUGUUCAAAGCGGGCUCGACGCCCUAUUUUUUUUAUCAUGGGAUAAUAAAAUAAGACAUGCGGUUCUAUUUUGGUUUGUUUUUGGAAUCGCCGGCAUGAGUAAAAAAGGGGCAGAGCGGGGGGGGUUGGGGGGGCACAAAUGGAGAAGGUGAAAUUCUUGG
rnacentral:rRNA from 1 species